rnacentral:rRNA from 1 species
UACGGAGGGGGCGAGCGUUAUUCGGAAUUAUUGGGCGUAAAGGGUGCGUAGGUGGCGAGGUAAGUUUGAUGUGAAAUCUCCGGGCUUAACCCGGAAAUGGCAUUGAAUACUCUCUCGCUCGAGGGUUGGAGGGGGGACUGGAAUUCUCGGUGUAGCAGUGAAAUGCGUAGAUAUCGAGAGGAACACCAGUGGCGAAGGCGAGUCCCUGGACAACUCCUGACACUGAGGCACGAAAGCUAGGGGAGCAAACAGG